UCUGUACAGAUACACGCGAUGUAAAUAUAUGACAAGAACAUCAACAAUGUGUAGUAAGCAUCUCCACAGAUGUCAAUAUUUAGUGUGAAGAUGUUCUUUUUUUAACUAGACCGCACAUUAUAACCAUAUUUAAAAAGGGGGGAAUCGGCUUCUUGCCUUGCUCUCAACUACCGGUAUUCCCAAAAAAGACAAAUGCAGAAUGCUGCAACCUGCUGGCGGGUUUCUUUACUACCAGCUUAUCCACCACUAGUACUGUGUCACUCUCAACAAGACCCCUUUCACAUGAAAGAAUUUUGCAACAAUACAAGAACAGUGGUGUCCCAGCCUGGACACCUCAAAUGCUGUUCAGAUGUUUUGGGAGGAAAAAAUUAACUUUCCAACAAGUUAGUCACUUUGUAGAAUAUUACUGGAAUAAAAGUCUUCAAGCAACUUUACAAAAGUACAUAUCAAAAUGGCUGUUGGAUACAAUUUGGAGAAAAAUAAACAAAAAACGAGUGGUUAGGAUUGUCAUUAUAUUUUAGAUUAAUUUUAUUUUUAUUUUAUUGGUUGACUCGAGUGGUGUAAAUAGGUUGUGUUGCACUUUGCAGUUAGGCAUGAAGAACAAUUUCUUGUGAUUUUGUUUUUCAGUAAGGAGUAAUGAAGAUGCUUGAGGGAAAUGUCCACCUGCAACCACUGGUGCUGGUCGUUCUGGGAGGGCGCCCAGGGAAGGCCCGCCUUUUUUAGCCGAGCUCCUGACGGCGCCCACACGCUGAGCUGGCCUGCCACAUUGUUCCACUCCCACACGGAUGAGGCGGAGAUCUGAAUAUCCGCCACGCCGCCGGACUCCAAUCCCAAGGUUCCAUAGCAGCCUUACAGCAGUCAUUAAAAAAAAAGUCAACCACAUGCCUUUUGGUGUGUCCUUUUACACUUGUUGAAGUCACGUGGCACCUACCAUUUGUCCUGAAGGUGAAGAGACUGUUUGACAGGGUUCCUCUACGGGGCAAUAAAGUAUAUUAGGGGAAGGUGACAAAUCAA